rnacentral:rRNA from 1 species
AGCUUAAAGAUUAUAUUUUAAGUAAAUUCUGCCCAGCGUUAUUUAUUAGCGGCCGCAGUACCUUGACUGUGCUAAGGUAGCAUAAUCAAUUGGCUUUUAAUUGAAGUCUGGAAUGAAAGGUUAAAUAAAGAAUUUACUGUCUCUUUUUGAUUUUUUUGAAUUUAUUUAUAAAGUGAAAAUACUUUUUUAAAGAAAAAAGACGAGAAGACCCUUAGAAUUUUUACUUAGUUUUUUUAUUAAAAAUAUUUUUUUGUUGGGGCGACACUGAAACAUAUUUAACUUUCAAGAUUUACAUGACAAAUUUUUUUAAAAGAUCAAAUUACCUAAGGGAUAACAGCAUAAUGAAUUAUUUAGUUUAUGACCUCGAUGUUGGACUAGGAACUAAAAGACUAACAGUCAAAAUAGAAUGUUCUGUUCGAACAAUUUUCUCCU